AUGCAUGAACUGGUAGAGAUUAGGGAGCUCAUCGCGGGUCCUUGGGCGGUGCUUGGGGACUUCAACUUGCUACUAAGCCCAGAGGACAAAAGCAACACCCUCAUUAACAGACGUAUGAUGGCUAGAUUUCGAGCAAAACUAAACGCCUUGGAGCUGAAAGAAUUGUAUUUGAAUGGCCGGAGGUACACCUGGUCCAAUGAGAGGACCGAGGUCACAUUGGAAAAGAUUGAUCAUGUUUUCGGCACGACGUCGUGGGAAGAGCUAUACCCAACAUGCCACCUCACCGCUCUGGGAUCGGCGGUGUCUGAUCAUUGCCCCAUGCUACUUGACUUAACGGCAGACUUGGGAGUGGGGAAGCGCUUCAAAUUUGAAGCUUUUUGGACGAAGGCGGAUGGAUUCAGGCAAACCGUGCUGGAUGCGUGGAGUUCCAUCCCGCACGAGGGGAACCCAUACGUGGUGCUGGACCAAAAGUUGAGGGCAACAACAAAAGGUCUUCAAAGGUGGAGCGACAAGUGGAUAGGAAAUGUCAAGCUGCAAAUUGGAAUUGCAAUGGAGGUCAUUUUCAGAUUGGAAAAGGCUAUGGAUUCCCGGGACUUAUCCCCCCAAGAGAUCGGGCUACGCCGGCUGCUUAAGAAGAAUCUGCUUGGAUUGUGCUUGCUUGAGAGAUCAAUUGCAAGACAAAGAUCAUGA
rnacentral:rRNA from 1 species